rnacentral:rRNA from 1 species
CCUACGGGUGGCAGCAGUGAGGAAUAUUGGUCAAUGGACGCAAGUCUGAACCAGCCAUGCCGCGUGCAGGAAGACGGCUCUAUGAGUUGUAAACUGCUUUUGUACGAGGGUAAACGCAGAUACGCGUAUCUGUCUGAAAGUAUCGUACGAAUAAGGAUCGGCUAACUCCGUGCCAGCAGCCGCGGUAAUACGGAGGAUUCGAGCGUUAUCCGGAUUUAUUGGGUUUAAAGGGGGCGUAGAUGGGCUGAUAAGUUAGAGGUGAAAUCCCGAGGCUCAACUGCGGAAUUGCAUUUGAUACUGGUCGGCUAGAGAAUAGUUGAGGUAGGCGGAAUGCAUGGUGUAGCGGUGAAAUGCUUAGAGAUCACACAGAACACCGAUUGCGAAGGCAGCUUACCAAGCUACUACUGACGUUGAGGCACGAAAGCGUGGGGAGCAAACAGGAUUAGAUACCCGAGUAGUC